CAAGUUGAUGUUACUCUAAAAAAGAGUAACUGGCAUUCCCGUGGUGGCUCAGUGGAAACGAAUCUGACUAGCAUCCAUGAGGACUCAGUUUUGAUCCCUGGCCUUGCUCAGCGGGUUAAGGAUCCGGUGUUGCCGUGAGCUGAGGUGUAGGUCGCAGACACAGCUUGGAUCCUGCGUGGCCAUAGUUGUGGCGUAGGCCAGCGGCUACAGCUCCGAUUGGACCUCUGGCUUGGGAACUUCCAUAUGCUGUGGGUGUGGCCCUGAAAAGACAGUAAGAUAAGAUAAAAUAAACUGCCGUAAUUUUCCUGAGUGUUCUCUGUUGUAGUUGUAGACAAGUCUUUGGCAGAGUUUUUCCUUUUUUAAAAAUUGAAAUAUAAAUGCAGGAAAAGGUGCCAUUAAUAGAUAAUUGCUACCAUAUUGUUGUCUUUUAUUGCUUUUGUUAAUGCUUUGUGGGCAGUUUAUAUGCAAUGUAUUUUAGGCCCACUAGAUUGGGAAUUGACAUACAUAAUAUUAAGUUAGUUUUGAUCCAAAUUAAAAUAGUCUAAGCUGGGUAAUUUUGCUUAGUAAACGGCAGGAGUUGAAGGAUGUAUAGUAAUUUGGUCCUCCUGCAUAGCUAUUUCUAAAGUUUGUCUUUUGAAUGAAUCCUCUUCUGAUGUGUGAUAAAUUACCCCCUACUUCACAGCUUAAGGCAACAGACAUUUACUAUCACAGUUUCUGAAGUUCAGGAACUGGAGAGUGGCUUGGCUGGGUGCUUCUGGUUCGGAGUCUCUCCCGAGGCUGUGGACAUCUGCAGGCUUGACUGGUGUUGGAGAGUCUGCUUCCAAGAUGGCGCACUCACAUGGCUGUUGGCUGGAGGCCUCAGUCCUCACCAAGGGGCUUCUCCAUAGGACUCUUCACAACAUGGUGGCUCACUUUCUCCCAAGGGCAAGUGAUCUGAGACGGGGAGGAAGUGGGAGAAAGGAUGAUCAAGUGGAAACUGCAGUGUCUUGGUAUCUAAGUGACAUACUGUCGCUUCUGCCAGCACAGAGGCCAACCUGGUGUAACAUGGGAGUGGACUGCCCUGGGGAAGCUUGAAGACCAUUGGCAUGCUUGUUUUUUGUUUUUGUCUUUUUCUAGGGCCACACCCACAGCAUAUGGAGGUUCCCAGGCUAGGAGUUGAGUCAGAGCUGUAGCUGCCGGCCUACACCACAGCCACAGCAGCUCAGGAUCGGAGCUGCAUCUGCGAUCUACACCACAGCUCAGGGCAAUGCCAAAUCCUUAACCGACUGAGAGAGGUCAGGGAUUGAACCCGUGUCCUCAUGGAUGUGGGUUCUCUAACCACUGAGCCACAAGGGGAACUCCACCAUCUGUGUAUUUUUUAAGAAAUAAAACUCACUGACAUGGUAGCUAAAAACAUCUUGGAGAACCUGCUUAUUAAAUGCUUCUUUCUAACUUUAUGUAUGUGUGAAACCUGCCACUAUAAAAAGUUUUUUUUUUAGUCAUUUGUCUUUUAUGUGGGGGUUCCCAGGCUAGGAGUUGAAUCAGAGCUGUAGCUGCUGGCCUACACCACAGCCACAGCUACUCAGGAUCUGAGCUGUGUCUGUGACCUACACCACAGCUGAUGGCAAAACGGGAUCCUUAACCCACUGAGUGAGGCCAGGGAUCGAACCCGCAUCCUCAUGGAUACUGGUCGGGGGUUUGUUAACCACUGAACCAUGACGGGAACGCCCCAUACAAAGUUUUUUAAAAAGGGGAGGGGCAAAAGAGGCAUAAUCACAAGAAAAAGUUUCCUAGAGCCCUGACAGCAAGGCCAAUAAAUAAAUAGUGGCAUUCUGGCAAUAGAAAAAAUAGAGCCCUUCCCCCAAUUACCUGAAAACUUCGGACAAUAUUUAUUUGUCUAGCAAGUUUUCAUUUCUUUUUUGAAAUUCUAAUACAUUAAAAAAACUUUUUUUUUUUUUUUUUUUAAAUGGCUGCCCCCCUGGCAUGGGGAAAUUCCCAGGCCAGGGAUUGAACCUGCGCCUCUGCACCUAUAUGUGCUGCUAUAGUUGGAUUCUUAAGCCACUGUGCCACAGAGGGAGCUCCAAGCCCUAACACAUUUUAAUUAUUCACCUGCACAAAAAGAGCUUUAUUCUUUUAACUUCUAGAUGAAAUCUUUCUGUAGUGUCCGUACGUGCAGAGAAGAAUUUAGGAACCCUGAGCUUGAAGCCCGAUUAAAAGGUCUGUAGGUUUCUUCCUAGCUCUUAAAAAUUCUAUGAUUCUAACAUAGAACAAAUAUCCUUUGACUUGGGCAUAUUUAUAACAAAAGGUUUCAUAAAUCAAGUUAAAUUGUAACUUCAGAAAAUGAAGUCUUCUGAGAAUUGCUUUAGUUCAUUCCAACCCAGUUCAAGGUUGUUAGUCGCCAUUAGGCAGACUAGAAAAGUCAGCACAAUUUGCCUUUCCUUUCUUCCUAUUUUUGGCCUGUCUCCUGUUUGCUGCCCUAAUUUAUGAGCUAGUAUCUUUCUUUUCUCUUUAUCCUGCCUCUCCUAUCAGCCCCCUUCUUCCUUCCACUCCCCUCCCCCUGUGAAAACAGGAAAAGGUUGGUGGCCAGGCAUUUGUUGUAGAUUAGCUGAUCCCAUUAUUAGGAAUGGAUUUUAGCCAAUGUGGUACCUCUGCUCAUCCUCGCAUAUUAAGCCUUUUUAAAAUCUCAAGUUAUAUGUGUUCAUUCAGUACCUUCUACCAUCUUUUAACUUUUUUUUUUUUUUUUUUUGGGCCACACCCACAGCAUGGGAAAUUUCCCUGGCCAGGAAUCGAACGGCACUGCCGUUGCAACCUGCACCACAGCUGUGGCAAUGCCGGAUCCUUAACCCACUGCACUAUAAGGGAACUUCCUGUUAUUUUUUGAAACGUAAAAAAAAAAAUCUUACUGUAGUUGAUUUUUACAAUGUUCUGUCAAUUUCUGCUGUGCAGCAAAGUGACCCAGUUAUACCCAUAUAUAGAUUUUUUUUCACAUUAUCCUCCAUCAUGUUUCAUCACAAGUGAUUAGAUAUAGUUCCCUGUGCUAUAUAGCAGGAUCUCAUUGCCCACCAUUCUUUAACUUCUAAAGGGGUUCUACACCCAAUUCCAAUGUGGAUUAUGUGUGGGGGCACAGCACCAAGACAUUCUCUGACACCAGCAGGGUGACCUGUGAUUCAGCUCAAUGGUGACCCUCUCUACCUAGAGAUAACACCAGGUUCCCGAGGUCAAGGACUCUGUCCCACAGGACUGCCCUCCGCUUCAGCUGCCAGUCACAAAGCCCAGAUGUUACCUGUACUUCUGACCAACUAGCUAUAAACCAGAAGUUCCCAUGUCCCCCUGCUUGGGUUUGAUUAAUUUGCUGGAGUGGCUCACAGAACUCAGGAAACCCAUUUCAUCACUUCAUGACCAGUUUCUUAUAAAGAUUGUUAAAGGACAUGAAUCAACAGCCAGAUGAAGAGAUCCAGGUCCCAGGUCACAAACCAAGGAGCUUCUGUCCUCAUGGAAUUUGCCCCCGCCCCCCAUGGUGGCACACGAAUGAACUCUGCUUCUCCAGUCUGGACACUCUCUGAACCUCUUCUUUUCUUCUUCUUUUUUAAAUCCUUUUAGGGCCACACCAGGCUAGGGGUCCAAUCGGAGCUGUAGCUGGCGGCCUAAAGCCACAGCCACAGCAAUGUGGGAUCUGAGCUGUAUCUGCGACCUACACCACAGCUCAUGGCAAUGCUGGAUCCUUAACUCACUGAGUGAGGUCAGGGAUUGAACCCACAACCUCAAGGUUGCUAGGCAGAUUCCCUUCUGCUGCGCCAUGACAAGAACUCCCAAAACAGAGUCUGGCUCCAUCCCAGACCUGCUGAAUCAGAAUGUGCCUUUGACCAAGAUUCCCAGGUACUGUGAGAGGCACUGGUACAGAUAACUAGGCCUACAGAGAAAUUGUGUCACUAGCUAGAGGGGAAUAUGAGGAUAAAAAUGGUAAGUGUGUUUAGGAUGAAGAUUAAACAGAAUGACAGGAAUGACCUUGGUAUGGGGGUGUGGGUGGCACAGAGUCCAACACCUUUGUGGAGAGUUGGCGUCUGCCAAGAGCAGCAGACAAGGAGGAGAUAGGCAUGGAUGCCAGUGGGUUUGUAGACUUGGCAGAGGAGUGGUAAGGGCGUUGUGCUCCAUGGCUUCUGUUUGGGGAAAAUGAGGCAAGGUCACUGGUGGAGCGUGAGCGUGGGGAGGGCCUCGGAGAGCGUCACAGUAAGAUUUCUUGGACGUGUAGAGUGAACACCCAUUCCCAGUUUGUGACCCUAAACACACUUCUCCUCGUGUUUCCUAAGGUUGGUCAUGUGACUUUCCCACUCCAGCAGCAUUUGCUUGUUGGGUGCAGAUGCCAGGCAGGAUAGUGAGGCGAUGAGGGAGGUGACUGUGUUUGCAGAGUGAGCUAUGGGGUCUCAGUUGGGGAAGGAGGGAAGUGGGAUCCCUGGGGGUCCAUGCACUGAGGGAAGGUGCUGGAACCAGUGCUCUUGUAUCCAGAGGCAGAGAAUGAUGGGGGAGGGGUGGAUGAGCAGGUGAGCUAGAGGGAUGGGGGCCAGGGCCAGACAGUGAGAGGAGAGGAUGAUCACGCUGAUGAUAAUGAAGUGACCACAGUAGUGUCACAGGAAAGGAACGAAAAAGCUUUGGGGAAUUCCUGUUGUGGCAUAGCAGAAAUGAAUCCGCUAGGAACCAUGAGGUUGUGGGUUCAAUCCCUGGCCUCGCUCAGUGGGUUAAGGAUCCAGCAUUGCCAUGAGCUGUGGUGCUGUGGUGUAGGUCGCAGAUGCAGCUUGGCUCUGGUGUAGGCUGGCAGCUGUAGCUCUGAUUAGACCCCCAGCCUGGGAACCUCCAUGGGCCUUGGGUGCGGUGCUAAAAAGCAAAAAAAAA
rnacentral:lncRNA from 1 species